AGGCUUAACACAUGCAAGUCGAGGGGCAGCAUGGUCUUAGCUUGCUAAGGCCGAUGGCGACCGGCGCACGGGUGAGUAACACGUAUCCAACCUGCCGUCUACUCUUGGACAGCCUUCUGAAAGGAAGAUUAAUACAAGAUGGCAUCAUGAGUCCGCAUGUUCACAUGAUUAAAGGUAUUCCGGUAGACGAUGGGGAUGCGUUCCAUUAGAUAGUAGGCGGGGUAACGGCCCACCUAGUCUUCGAUGGAUAGGGGUUCUGAGAGGAAGGUCCCCCACAUUGGAACUGAGACACGGUCCAAACUCCUACGGGAGGCAGCAGUGAGGAAUAUUGGUCAAUGGGCGCAGGCCUGAACCAGCCAAGUAGCGUGAAGGAUGACUGCCCUAUGGGUUGUAAACUUCUUUUAUAAAGGAAUAAAGUCGGGUAUGUAUACCCGUUUGCAUGUACUUUAUGAAUAAGGAUCGGCUAACUCCGUGCCAGCAGCCGCGGUAAUACGGAGGAUCCGAGCGUUAUCCGGAUUUAUUGGGUUUAAAGGGAGCGUAGAUGGAUGUUUAAGUCAGUUGUGAAAGUUUGCGGCUCAACCGUAAAAUUGCAGUUGAUACUGGAUAUCUUGAGUGCAGUUGAGGCAGGCGGAAUUCGUGGUGUAGCGGUGAAAUGCUUAGAUAUCACGAAGAACUCCGAUUGCGAAGGCAGCCUGCUAAGCUGCAACUGACAUUGA
rnacentral:rRNA from 1 species